rnacentral:lncRNA from 1 species
CCUAAGUGUGACCGCGUGGAGGGGGAGCCUGAGGGCUGCCUCCUUCCUCUUCCAAGGUGAUGAAGAGACGAUGGUCUCGCAGCUCCACCCGCUGCCUGGUGACCAGAAAGGGCUGCCCUGCAGCCCGCCUUCUGCACCGUCCCUGCCCAGCUCAUUUCAGAGAAACUCGCCUGGAUUCUGCUCUGGACUCUUCCACACCACGCACUGGAGCCCCCGGCACCCUGGUCCAGAUCACGAGGCUCUCUCUGGAGCAAGGCUUCUCAGAGCACGGCCUGGAGCCCUCUGCAAACGGCUUGCUCAGAUCCAGGACGAGAUAGCGCAGAAACUGUCAGCAAGCAUUUAGACACUUUCAAAGCAAUUCGACGGUCACUGUAUGUCAGUUGAAUCUAAUAAAAAAUCGGGGUUUGUAUUUUGGAUGUCUCUUGUUUAUUUCAUUUUUUUCCCCAGCCGUUCUUCUGUGUUAUAUUUUACAACAGAAAUGGCCCGUCAUUGAUUAGGAAUUAAAAAGAAAACAACUGGCCCUCAACCACAGAGAGUGGGAGAAGCUCUGCCCCAGGUGUCUUUCCAUCUUGGUCUCAGCAACCUUCAUGGCAACAUAUUGCAUUAAAACGUGCACAGGAGGUGCAAAACGCCCCACUCCCCGGACCUCAGCAACGCACCUCACCCUGGUCACCUCCCCCACCCCAGCUGUCCGGCUGGGAGCCUGCCUCCUCCACCAAGCCCUGCCUGCCAUCCAGCUCACAGCCCUCUCUCCUCCACUUCCUGUCUCCACCACUCAUUUGGCAAUUUAGCUAAUAAAAAACUAAUAAUAAUUGAGUGCAAGUCUCUGUGCUAUGGAGCUAGACAAGCAACUCCUCGAGCAGGUCUCUGCCGUGUGGCCUCUUGUGGCGACUGUUCAUUCAGCCUUUGCUGCCGACCCAGGACUGCUUGUGUGUGUGGAAUCCGGCACUCCGACCUUCGAGGCUCCAAGUCCACUGCCCACACUUCUCG